AUCAAACUAAGCACAUUCGCCACCACUAUAAAUACUGAAGUGCUAAUACAUUACAACGAUGAGUUAUGUAUGAUAUGUCAUUCAGAAAUCCCUCAGCCUCCUUUCGUAAAGUAUAAGACGGAUGGCUCGAAGGCAGCCCGAACGGCUUUGCUUAAACAACCACGAGGAUGCUACUGAACAGAAUUGUGAACGCGCGAGUAAAAGGUGGGACCUCAACAGGCAGGGCAACCCUGACAUCAGCCCAUAAAUUGUAAGGCUGAGGAGAGAAUCCUUCAGUGGUUCAUUGAUUAUCAUUUGGAGAGUGCAUUUUUUUGUGACAGACUGCCAUGGCCAUUACCCAGCCAAGACACUAGCUGGAUGGGAGAACCUGGGGAGAGAGUAUCUAGAAAACACUACCUCCCCUGGGUUGCUAGAGGAUAGCCUUCCUGGGUGGCUGUGGCACCAUGGAUUCCCGCAGGGCAAACUGGGAAUUGGAG